rnacentral:rRNA from 1 species
AGGGUUCGAUUCUGGCUCAGGAUGAACGCUAGCUACAGGCUUAACACAUGCAAGUCGAGGGGCAGCGAGAAGAAAGCUUGCUUCUUGUCGGCGACCGGCGCACGGGUGAGUAACGCGUAUCCAACCUUCCCCUUAGUAGGGCAUAGCCCGUAGAAAUGCGGAUUAAUACCCUAUGUUUUCCGAUGAGGACAUCUGAGCUGGAACAAAGGUUUACCGCUAAGGGAUGGGGAUGCGUCUGAUUAGGCAGCAGGCGGGGUAACGGCCCACCUGGCCGACGAUCAGUAGGGGUUCUGAGAGGAAGGUCCCCCACAUUGGAACUGAGACACGGUCCAAACUCCUACGGGAGGCAGCAGUGAGGAAUAUUGGUCAAUGGGCGAGAGCCUGAACCAGCCAAGUAGCGUGCAAGGAUGACGGCCCUAUGGGUUGUAAACUGCUUUUAUGCAGGGAUAAAGUCACCCACGUGUGGGUGUUUGUAGGUACCGCAUGAAUAAGGACCGGCUAAUUCCGUGCCAGCCGCUGC